GUGCUCACUUCUGCAGCACAAACACUAAAAUUGAAACAAUGUAGAGAAGAUUAGCAUGGCUCUUGCCCAAAAAUGACAUACAAAUUCAUGAAGCUUUCCAUCAGUUU
rnacentral:snRNA from 1 species